rnacentral:rRNA from 1 species
UAAUCUGCCCAGAAGACCGGGAUAACCUGCCGAAAGGCAAGCUAAUACCGGAUAAGCCUACAGGCUCCUUGGAGCCCGUAGGAAAAGGUGGCCUCUGUAUACAAGCUAUCACUUCUGGAUGAGCCCGCGGCCCAUCAGCUAGUUGGCGGGGUAAUGGCCCACCAAGGCGACGACGGAUCGCCGGCCUGAGAGGGUGGCCGGCCACAGGGGCACUGAGACACGGGUCCC